rnacentral:rRNA from 1 species
UGGAUGAGCCCGCGGCCUAUCAGCUUGUUGGUGGGGUAAUGGCCCACCAAGGCGACGACGGGUAGCCGGCCUGAGAGGGUGACCGGCCACACUGGGACUGAGACACGGCCCAGACUCCUACGGGAGGCAGCAGUGGGGAAUAUUGCACAAUGGGCGAAAGCCUGAUGCAGCGACGCCGCGUGAGGGAUGACGGCCUUCGGGUUGUAAACCUCUUUCAGCAGGGACGAAGCGAAAGAGGCGGUACAACCCCGCAAAGCACCGCGCCUACACAUGUA